ACUGAAACAGAAUAUCAAGCACAAGCAAGAGUUUGUGGAUCAGUUAGUAGUCCCUCUAAAAUAAAAUUCAACGUACGCUCAAAAACACCUAUUGUGGGCAGGAACGAACGAAGAGUUAACCGACCAAAAGAAUAACUAUAAUUUAUGAAAAAAAAUCAACUUAAUUAUAUCUACUAAUUAUUACUACUCAGUUCCUCUGAGAAUAUGUUGAUUACAAAAGCUUCUAUGUGGAUUUAUCAAUACUUAAGGUAAUCCCCUGCUUCUUACUACGUAAAAGGAGGCCUUCCUCUCUAUCAAAACUAGGAGCUAACUCAACUGGUCCUAAUCAUAGUAUAUACUAUAACGUAAUGAGUCCGUUUGAAAAUUUAAAUGCAAUGCAUUAAUUAAAAUAAAGGUAGUAUUAAACAAAGAAGUUUCAUGAAUAGAAGAAAGGGAUAUGUCCAAGCAUAAAUAUUGCGCACGCUUAUAUUUUAUUAUUAUGUUAUGUAUCUAGAAUCUUGUAAAUAAAUAUAUGUAAACAGUUUGACAUUAUAAGGUCGCGUCAUUGUGUCCCAUCAAUUAUUAACAAAUGACAAACUUUAUAUAAUUGCUUCAAAGGAAAUAAAAUAGAAGAGGAAUUGUGUAAAAAGAGGCCACUCGUAAUUGAGGAGGAAGCAAUUGUUAAUGAGUUGAUCAAAUGGUGGUGAAUCCUUUUUCAAGCUUGUACAAAAAGAAGGAAAAAUCUUCAUAAGUCAUACAUAUACAUAUAUAUUGCAAUAAAGGAUACAAUUAUGAAAGAGUUUGACUCCGGAAUAUAACAAAUUAUUGACUCCUUCAAUGACUAUGUUAUAUAUAUAUUACAUGCAAGUCAGUGACGAUCUCUUCAUAUUAAAAGACGCCAAUUACUUA
rnacentral:lncRNA from 1 species